GGAAGUCAAAGAGCCGCGGAGCUCGCAGCGCAGCUCGCUUAUUCAAAUCAGUCUCCUCCUCUCCGGAGCCCGGCUGGGGCCAGCGCCCACCCACCUCCGAGCGGCCCCGGAGAGGCUGAGCCUCCCACGCGGGGAGGGACGAGGUAAACUGAGGCAUAGCGACUUGUGCAAGGUCAGCCGGAGAGCGAUGGAAGGACCCCGGGAAUUCUACAACUCCUGUGCUGCCAACUGUCAUGAUUUUUUGGCCAGCAGAUUUCACUCAGCCCAGUGAGUUCGGCAGGCAGAGACUUGAAGUCAGAUCUCCUGAAUGCCAGGGCAGCGUCAGAUCCACUAAAACCAGCCCCCCGCUCCCCAAUGCUAACACGCAGUAAUUCCUGCUCUAAGUGACAUUCGUCUCCAGCAGUCAGCAGCAAGAAAAACCCUGGCUUGCCUCUAAAUCUACAAAGUCGGAUUUUGCAUGGGAGCUUUUUCUUUCUCCCUGCUACACAAUAAAGCAAUCACCAUGCAUGGGGGCAGGGGGAAAGAGAUCGGGGCAGAGAAAUUGGACAGGUUAGACCGUAAGCCAAUAAAGUGUUUUUAAAAUAAAAUUUUAAAGGCACGGUAACAUUCCACACUACCCAGCGUCUAAGUGAACCCAAGGCGAGGCCGUGUGCACAUAAAGGGAAAAGCCAGCGGUACACGGCUUAAUGAGUAACUGCUAAAACAUACCACCGCUAAUAAAGAUACUCUGUGCCAAGCCAGGAACUAUAUAGUGCUCCUGAGUGGAGUGUAUAUACAGAUAGAGCCCCUCAGGGCAGGACUCUUUAUACAAACAAAACUCCAACACGAAAUAAAUUCAUUCUGUCCCACAAGACGGGCCGGAAAAUGCAACGGGCUGGACGCAGAAGAAAAACAUUAGUGUUUAGACAAGAGCAGUAAUGUUCUCAC